rnacentral:rRNA from 1 species
GUGGGGAAUUUUGGACAAUGGGCGCAAGCCUGAUCCAGCAAUGCCGCGUGCAGGAAGAAGGCCUUCGGGUUGUAAACUGCUUUUGUACGGAACGAAACGGUCCGGGUUAAUACCCUGGGCUAAUGACGGUACCGUAAGAAUAAGCACCGGCUAACUACGUGCCAGCAGCCGCGGUAAUACGUAGGGGGCAAGCGUUAAUCGGAAUUACUGGGCGUAAAGCGUGCGCAGGCGGUUUUGUAAGACAGGCGUGAAAUCCCCGGGCUCAACCUGGGAAUUGCGCUUGUGACUGCAAGGCUGGAGUGCGGCAGAGGGGGAUGGAAUUCCGCGUGUAGCAGUGAAAUGCGUAGAUAUGCGGAGGAACACCGAUGGCGAAGGCAAUCCCCUGGGCCUGCACUGACGCUCAUGCACGAAAGCGUGGGGAGCAAACAGGAUUAGAAACCCCUGUAGUCC